rnacentral:rRNA from 1 species
GUGCCAGCCGCCGCGGUAAUACAGAGGGUGCAAGCGUUGUUCGGAAUUAUUGGGCGUAAAGCGCGUGUAGGCGGCUAUGUAAGUCGGGUGUGAAAUCCCUCAGCUUAACUGAGGAAGUGCGCCCGAAACUGUGUGGCUUGAGUACCGGAGAGGAUGGCGGAAUUCCCCAAGUAGAGGUGAAAUUCGUAGAUAUGGGGAGGAACACCGGUGGCGAAGGCGGCCAUCUGGACGGUCACUGACGCUGAGACGCGAAAGCGUGGGUAGCAAACAGGAUUAGAAACCCUCGUAGUCC